CUUUCUUUGCUGGCGACCGGCGCACGGGUGAGUAACACGUAUCCAACCUGCCCUUUACUCGGGGAUAGCCUUUCGAAAGAAAGAUUAAUACCCGAUAGCAUAAUGAUUCCGCAUGGUUUCAUUAUUAAAGGAUUCCGGUAAAGGAUGGGGAUGCGUUCCAUUAGGUUGUUGGUGAGGUAACGGCCCACCAAGCCUUCGAUGGAUAGGGGUUCUGAGAGGAAGGUCCCCCACAUUGGAACUGAGUCACGGUCCAA
rnacentral:rRNA from 1 species